rnacentral:tRNA from 1 species
AAUAAGAUGGCUGAAGAUAUAAGCGGAAAAUUGUAGCUUUUCUAAUGGGGUGUCCUCUCUUAUUA